rnacentral:rRNA from 1 species
AGAGUUUGAUCCUGGCUCAGGACGAACGCUGGCGGCGUGCUUAACACAUGCAAGUCGAACGGUAAGGCUCCUUCGGGAGUACACGAGUGGCGAACGGGUGAGUAACACGUGAGCAAUCUACCCUUGACUCUGGGAUAACAGUUGGAAACAACUGCUAAUACCGGAUACGACCUCGGCGGGCAUCCGACGGGGUGGAAAGUUCCGGCGGUCAGGGAUGAGCUCGCGGCCUAUCAGCUUGUUGGUGAGGUAACGGCUCACCAAGGCGUCGACGGGUAGCCGGCCUGAGAGGGCGACCGGCCACACUGGGACUGAGAUACGGCCCAGACUCCUACGGGAGGCAGCAGUGGGGAAUAUUGCGCAAUGGGCGAAAGCCUGACGCAGCAACGCCGCGUGCGGGACGACGGCCUUCGGGUUGUAAACCGCUUUCACCCAUGACGAAGUGAAAAUGACGGUAGUGGGGGAAGAAGCACCGGCCAACUACGUGCCAGCAGCCGCGGUGAUACGUAGGGUGCGAGCGUUGUCCGGAAUUAUUGGGCGUAAAGAGCUUGUAGGCGGUCUGUUGCGUCGAAAGUGAAAACUCAGGGCUCAACCCUGAGCCUGCUUUCGAUACGGGCAGACUAGAGGAAGGUAGGGGAGAACGGAAUUCUUGGUGGAGCGGUGGAAUGCGCAGAUAUCAGGAAGAACACCGGUGGCGAAGGCGGUUCUCUGGACCUUUCCUGACGCUGAGAAGCGAAAGCGUGGGGAGCGAACAGGCUUAGAUACCCUGGUAGUCCACGCCGUAAACGGUGGGUACUAGGUGUGGGGGACAUUCCACGUUCUCCGUGCCGUAGCUAACGCAUUAAGUACCCCGCCUGGGGAGUACGGCCGCAAGGCUAAAACUCAAAGGAAUUGACGGGGCCCCGCACAAGCGGCGGAGCAUGCGGAUUAAUUCGAUGCAACGCGAAGAACCUUA